CCUGGCGGCUUUAGCGCGGUGGUCCCACCUGACCCCAUGCCGAACUCAGAAGUGAAACGCCGUAGCGCCGAUGGUAGUGUGGGG
rnacentral:rRNA from 3 species